ensembl:lncRNA
UUGAAGGUACAAACAUUAUUUUGGAGGAGCCGCCGACAAUCAAUCUCCAAUCAGAGGAGACUGUCGGCCUGUGACUCCAGGGCGACUAUGGAGGGGAUUUUUCUUAACAAUUCUCACAGCUAUAAUAUGAGUUUGUAGAAUAAAAAAAGCCUAGGCCUAAUUGUGUCACUGACAUAGCGGUUAUGUAAGGGAUAAUGGACAACACGGCGCUUGACUAUCCAUGGUUAAUGUACGUUGAACAUGUGGGGCCACCAUUGAACUUGAAACACAGACACACUGCGCAACAGUAAAUGCACGGCUCCUUUGUGUAGCAUUGCCUACAUACGGUCCAACAAGGACAAUCAAAUAACGAAUGACCUCUGAGAGUCUGUAACUACGGACUUCCCCCGUUCCGAUGACCCGGACUUCGCGCUCAAGAACCGCCUCAUCCUCGCGGCCAUCAAGGCGGCCCACCACCUGGACAACGCCUCCGGCCCGGACCCUCUCCCCAUCAUCGCCAGGCUCACCGGCUCCUUGACGGCCUCCAUCCGCAGCCGCCCUGCUGUCCCCAACGCCGCGACCCUUGGCUUCAUUGAUGGCAACGCUCGCAACUGGGGACACACCACCACCAUCCUCCUGCGGGACCACUACAGGGCUACGGUGGCCCAGAAGGUGAGUGAGCUCUCCUGCCUUGCGGACCCUGCCUGGCGGCGCAACUUUGAUGUGGCUGCCUCCUGGGCCGCUCGCCAGUACGGCCACCGCCUCCGCCAGGACACGCGGACGCCCUGCUGCAGGCUCGAGACCCCCUCCGGCCGCGCCCCUGCCGCAGAGGACGACGCCUACCUCCGCCCUGCCCUGGUGCCGGACCCUCGCCACUUCCCCUCUGCCAGCUCCUGCAUCUCCCGGCACGACACCUCCCCAUGUGUUUGCCCAGACCAGCGCUUCCGCCCUGCAACGGCGCCGGACCCUCGCCACGCCCCCUCUGCCAGCUCCUGCGUCUCCCGGCAUGACACCCCCCAGUGGGUCUGCCCAGACCAACCCUCGUCGGGACGCUGUCCCCGUCGGCACCCCCCUUGGCUCCACCCGCGCCCGGCUGACCUUCAACCCUCCGGCUGACAGCGCCAUCCUGGACACGCCCACCAGGAGGUCCACGAAACGCGUCAGCAACGCGAGAAGGUCCCGGAUGACCUUUGACCCGCCCGCGGACGUCGUCACGCCGAUCACGCACACGUGCAUGUUCUCCAGACGUGCCAGCACCGCCAGGAGGCUUGCAUCACUUACCAGGAAGCCUCGUUCGGCUGCUCCACUGCUGAGGGGCUCAUCAACGAGAACUCUCAGUAGCAUACCCCCAGGACGUCAUCACAUAGUGUGGGGUUGGGUUGGGGAUCCAGCCGGGCGUCUGAUUGGUCCCCCCGCUUCCGGGUAUCCAUCUUGGAAUGAUGACACGUGACGCACUUUCAUUGUGACGCUCUCCGAAUACCACAUGUUAUCGGCCUGUUUGGCGUCCUCUGUUGUCAGUCAUCACCUAUUGUCACCGUGCGGAAGUGUUGAUCCAGCCUGGCACCUGAUUGGUCCCCCCGUCUCCGGACAGCCAUCAUGGAUCGUGACGCGUUAUGCGUCUUUGUUGAAAAUUCAAAAGUGUUGAUCCAGCCUGGCACCUGAUUGGCCCUCCCGCCUCCCGGGUUGCCGUAGUCACUUCUGCGCAUGUCACGAACCGGUUCCUCUCCCUCCCCCUUGGGUCCCCCGCGACCCAUCUCCCCGGGGUUGGGACGCCCACACACGAACCGCCAGGGACCGGUCCCCCUUGCCCCCGACGCCCCCCUCCCUUCCUACCACCCUUCCCCCCCCUAGCCUCCCUUCCCUCCUCCCCCCUUCCCCCUCCUCCCCCCCUCCCCCUCUCCUUCCCCCUGCAGGCUCGAGACCCCCUCCGGCCGCGCCGCAGAGGACGGCGCACACCUCCGCCAAGCCCCGGCGCUGGACCCACGCCACGCCCCUCUGGUCAGCCCGUGCGUCCCCCCUUGGCUCCGCCCACGCCACGCCCCUCUGGUCAGCCCGUGCGUCCCCCCUUGGCUCCGCCCACGCCACGCCCCUCUGGUCAGCCCGUGUGUCCUCCCUUGGCUCCGCCCACGCCCGGCUGGCCCUCGAACAUCCCGGUUGAUGGCGUCGCCCCGGACACGCCCCCCAGGGGGCCCACACGCCACGUCAGCCCUUCAAAGAAAGCCUCACGGCCUUCUCCUGCCCUGCCGCUGCCGCGGAGUGAGCCCCGCCCUUCCGGGUCGUCUCUCCUCCAGCUCCUCGCCACGCCCCUUCGUACGACUACGACACCCCCCUGUCCGGCUGACCUUUGACCCUCCCGCGGACGGCGUCACCAGACACGCCCACCAGGAGGCCCAUCGGGCAUGCCAAGGUACUGGGGGCGAGUCCCUUCUUGUCCGUAGCUACGCGACCCGGAAAAAAGGCUUCUGAAAAAAGAAAGAACAGACCAAAAUGUCUCACGAUCGCUAGAUUGGGGACUUCAUAACCUUUGUGUUUUAAUGUGGGAGUGUGUCGAGGAUCUCGGGGAGUUGCAUGAUGAUGGCCCGUGCACCCGGAGUCUCCUUUAAUGCUUGUACCUAACCCUAACCGUUUCUCUAGCACCUUCCUGUCAAAAUAUAUUCACCGAGCACACUUAGGAUUUUGCUGUGCAAAGCCGCUACGGCCAGCAGCAUAUGUGAUGCCCGACUCCACAUCUCGGGGGGGGAAGGUCGCACAGACUCGGGCUUGGCGCCGUUGGAAAGCCGCUCCUCCCUUUGGGGGGGGGGGGGUGCGUCUGCCUCCCGUUUCUCUAGCACCUUCCUGUCAAAAGAUAUUCACCGAAAACGGCCUGCACCGGGGUGCACUUCGGUUAAAACACCCUAUCCUAACCCUAACCCUAACCUUUGUUGGUGUGCAACCUUUUUUAGUUUAUUGUUUCUAGAUCCAAUAAAUAUUUACUUUUUUAACUGCUUCUGGAAUAUACUUACUCAAUCUGGUCCACGUCGUGAAGUGAGUUGUUCAGACCUUCUCCUUUUGUCCUGGUGGUCUAUUGGGCGGUGAGUACCCCAACAUCUGUGUGUUCAGUUCAGUUUUUUCUAAAGUGUGUACACACUGCAAGGCUAUGAGAAGAUAAAACACACACAGAGAAACAACAGGGACACACUCCUGCCUUCCCCGAACAAUGCCAUUCCAACAUUAAGGCUUUUUUUCAUUACAGAAGAGAGUAUGGGUUUGUGAUUUUUGGGCGUGUGUCCAUGUGUGUGCAUAUAUAUACAUAUAUAUGUAUGUGUGUACACUGAAGACUAGACCGACACAACAUCUACUACGAUCUACUCAACCAACCGGCCCAACUCCACCCGCCCCCCCUCCCUUGAACCAUUCUAGGGUCACUUAUUGGGAACUACCACCAGCCCACAACCAGCUUACCACCAGCCUACCAGACGAUCAGCAACAUCUUGUUUCCUGACCUGAACACAAUCUACCUCCCAGCUAAGACAAUUCACCAUCGGACCAACCACAUCCCACCAACCCUCUACCUUUGACUUUUUCCUUUUUGGUUUUGCAUAGUUCAUUCCCUUACAUUUUUUAUUUUCAUUUCUUAUUUUUAGUUUACUCUACGAUCUGACUCACAGCUGCAUAACCACAACUACAUCUGUUCUAGCAAAUCUUUUUUUCAAUGCGAAUUGCGGUUUAACCUUAUGAUAGUUUGUUUUGCAUUUUUCUUCUGUUUUCCCUUUUUCGUUUCUUUUUUUAUACCCCAACCCCUUCCCCGCUUUUCUUUUUCUUUUGAAUUAGUCUGGGUCCCCCUUUAAAAUGGCUAACUCUUAUAAAAACAGAUUUAGCCUAUUGGGUACCUACAACACAGUACCACAGAAGCCUCCUCCUUCCAAGGUUACUCCUGUUGGGACAGACACAUCAAGCAAUUCAGAGUUUUUAUUAAGCAAAACAUAGUUUAAACUUCUCCAAUCGAUCCACCACACAGAGAUUCUGUCGGAAGCCCUCAUUA